ensembl:lncRNA
GAUAGUCUGUUAAUGGCAAGUUCUCAUUGUGACAACUUACCCCAUAUAACAUGACAGUAUUAUUAUAAUGCCCACAUGGUGUACACUGUACAAUUAUUUUUUGUAAUCAGAGUUUGUGUACAGAAAAUUUCAUAUUUAUUAACUUAGAAGAGCUGGAUAAAUUACUAACAAAUCAUAAUCUGUUACUGAUUCCAAAUUACAGUACAUGACAUAAAUCAAAAUCCAUUACAUUACACAUUUUAGGUAAUAUAAUCAGACUACUUUUUGUUUACUUUGGUCCUAUCUCAUUUAUCACAUUGAUUUAAAUAAGAUAAUCUUGUAUCAUAUUGAUAUAAAAAUUCAAAGAUUAGGAAAAUCUGUUCCAUUCAUUGUUAUUAACAGCAUAAAGUGCAUUAAACAUUACAUUACGUAAUAAAAGUUUCCCCAACUGGGCUUCCAUGGUUUAACGAAAAGCUAAUAAUUAAUUAAAUCAUGAUAUAUUAAAAUAAACCAUUUAAAAAGCAAUCAAAAUAAAUAAAAAAAUAUAUAUUUUAUUUGUUUACCUGCAUGUCAUGUGACCAUAACCAACAACGUGAACAUGCAAAGUUGAUAGUUUUUAUUAAAAUAUUUAUUUUUAAGUCUCAGUGGUAAUUCAAGUAAAUAUAGUAAGUGAAAGAUGACCAAAAAAGUUUGGGAAAUUGUGGAUUUGAAUGUGUUUGAAAGAUAAAAGCCUUCCAAAGCUAUAGUAAUGGUUUCAUAAUCGGUGCUAGCAUCACUAAAUCAAGACACCUCACUUGCUGUGAGAAGCCCCCUUGAUAGUAAACAUACUUUGGCGUAGACGUCCUCGUGAUGACCUCAGUGCACGCGCGCGGAGGGACGGAGGAGCCGUGCGCGCUCCCGACCCGCACUGUCUGUGAGAGAGAAGCGGCGUCCUCAAAACUUCUCCCAGACGGAUACUUCAUGACAUAAACCAGCGUAGUCGUGAAGGGAUUCCUGGAGUCAAGUCAUGUUUAAGGCCGUGCUGAAGAAGAGCAGAGAGAGCGGGAAAAACAGGAAGGAUGCAGAACCACAGCGAUGUCAGUCUUUUCAGGCUUUACAUCGUUCAGUCAAGCUUUCUUCAGUUCAGUUCAGCUUUUUUGAUAGUAAAUUAGCUAAAAGUAAGUAUUUUUUGUGAUGUCAG